UGGGGGAUCGUCUAACGGUAGGACACGAGACUCUGGAUCUCGGCGUCUAGGUUCAAGUCCUAGUCCCCCAGCCA
rnacentral:tRNA from 1 species